CCUACGGGCGGCAGCAGUGGGGAAUAUUGCACAAUGGGGGAAACCCUGAUGCAGCGACGCCGCGUGAGUGAAGAAGGAAUUCGUUAUGUAAAGCUCUAUCAGCAGGGAAGAAAAUGACGGUACCUGAGUAAGAAGCCCCGGCUAACUACGUGCCAGCAGCCGCGGUAAUACGUAGGGGGAACGCGUUAUCCGGAUUUACUGGGUGUAAAGGGAGCGUAGACGGCAGUGCAAGUCUGGAGUGAAAGGCGGGGGCGCAACCCCCGGACUGCUCUGGAAACUGUACGGCUGGAGUGCAGGAGAGGAAAGUGGAAUUCCUAGUGUAGCGGUGAAAUGCGUAGAUAUUAGGAGGAACACCAGUGGCGAAGGCGACUUACUGGACUGUAACUGACGUUGAGGCUCGAAAGCGUGGGGAGCAAACAGGAUUAGAUACCCGGGUAGUC
rnacentral:rRNA from 1 species